AUUGCUUAAAUUUGGUUAAUCAAUAUGUAACAAUGAAGCUGAGGCAGAUUAGAUUCUAAGGUAUGUUGACAUGGAGGCACAAACUUGAGAUUAUUUACGAUCCCUCAAAACUUGGACAAGAGUUCGUGGUUCAACCGGUCUGAUCAUCCGGUCCGUAUCAGGUUUUUAGUUAUUGGUUAGGAUGAAACGACACCGUUUUGUCUGCGCUCAUACAUCAGUAUCGCCCAUUAGUAAUCAGUAUCGCCUUACAACCACCGGAGAAUUUGCACCAAUGGCGUUGAGACUGACGACGCUAAAACGCGCCGUGGUUGAAUCCCGGCGCAUUUUAGAAUUCCGAAGCUUCAACCACGUUUCCACGAUCUCUCCUCCCUUGAACGGCGCCAUAGAUCUCUCUACCGCUUCGCCGCCGCUGGUCUUACCGGAGUUUUAUCAGGAUCUAUCGGAUUCUUCCAUUGAUGACAAGAAUUUCAGAUUCUGUUUCCCGAUUUCCUUUUUCGGUGGAUCCAUGGAGCUAAUGGCUGUUCCCAAGAAGAAGAUUUCUAAACACAAGAGAGGGAUAAGAAAUGGACCAAAGGCCCUUAAACCUACUCCUGUGAUCAUCCGUUGCAGGAGUUGUGGACGAGUUAAGCUGCCACAUUUCUACUGCUGCAGCGGUGAGCGGGUAAUACCUGAAGAACAAAGCAAUUCAAACAACUGAUCCAGACUUACUUUAUGAAUAAAGCUUGCUUAAUUUGGACCCGAAAGAAGUCAUGCGAUUCUUAGUACAGCGCUCAAGGGUUAUGAUGUAGACUUAGAUCACUCUGUUUUGGGCAUAUCAUUUGGUUUUCUUGCAGAAUCAAAAUACUGCUUGCUUUAUUUAGUACACAUACUUAGUACUUAGAGAUUUGAUCGUGAUCAAUAGAACAAGAAAAAUGAGAUGGCCCCAAAAAAGGUGCCCAUACUGCCAAAUUACACGGUUUCACUGCCACACUAAAGCACACGAAGCAACACGUGUCAUUCUCUGGUGGGCUAAAAAAUGGUCAACCAGUAUCUCUGAUUUGCUUCCUUCCAUCAAUUUCGGCCGCAACAGUUCAACACGCAUUCCAUCUAUCGGACGGCACGUGGCAGUCACAGAAGAAUCCAACGGCUGUAGAAGAAGAUGAACAAGUUCUCAGCCACAGAGCAGUAACCAACUAAAUACAAGCAAAAACAAAUACUCUAGUGACAGUCGGCGAGAGAGAGAGAGAGAGAGGCGUUUCAAAUUCCGACGUCUUCUUUCACGUUCUUCAUUGCAGAGAAGCUCCUUAUUAAGCAAUUCUAUCAUCGAGCUACAUUUCUUCCUGAUCAAGGUUGUUCUAAUGGAUCCCGAAACUGUAAAUUUCUCUGUAGUAGUAUAGUAUCAUAGAUUUGCCGAUCGUUGAUCUCUUCUUAUACGUUAUUGGUGGGAAUGUUACUACAAGCUACGAUACAAACCCUAGAUUCUGUUAAUUUCUACCUGCGUGUGUGGUUUUUACUCAAA